rnacentral:rRNA from 1 species
GACGAACGCUGGCGGCGUGCUUAACACAUGCAAGUCGAACGGAAAGGCCCUGCUUUUGUGGGGUGCUCGAGUGGCGAACGGGUGAGUAACACGUGAGUAACCUGCCCUUGACUUUGGGAUAACUUCAGGAAACUGGGGCUAAUACCGGAUAGGAGCUCCUGCUGCAUGGUGGGGGUUGGAAAGUUUCGGCGGUUGGGAAUGGACUCGCGGCUUAUCAGCUUGUUGGUGGGGUAGUGGCUUACCAAGGCUUUGACGGGUAGCCGGCCUGAGAGGGUGACCGGCCACAUUGGGACUGAGAUGCGGCCCAGACUCCUACGGGAGGCAGCAGUGGAGAAUAUUGCACAAUGGGCGGAAGCCUGAUGCAGCAACGCCGCGUGCGGGAUGACGGCCUUCGGGUUGUAAACCGCUUUCGCCUGUGACGAAGCGUGAGUGACGGUAAUGGGUAAAGAAGCACCGGCUAACUACGUG